AUUGAACGCUGGCGGCAUGCUUUACACAUGCAAGUCGAACGGUAACAGGGAGCUUGCUCCGCUGACGAGUGGCGAACGGGUGAGUAAUGCAUCGGAACAUGCCCAGUCAUGGGGGGAUAACUACGCGAAAGCGUAGCUAAUACCGCAUACGCCCUGAGGGGGAAAGUGGGGGAUCUUCGGACCUGGCGCUAGUAGAUGAGCCCGCGUGAGAUUAGCUUGUUGGUGGGGUAAUGGCCUACCAAGGCAACGAUCUCUAGCUGGUCUGAGAGGACGAUCAGCCACACUGGGACUGAGACACGGCCCAGACUCCUACGGGAGGCAGCAGUGGGGAAUAUUGGACAAUGGGCGAAAGCCUGAUCCAGCAAUGCCGCGUGUGUGAAGAAGGCCUGAGGGUUGUAAAGCACUUUCAAUCGUGAAGAAAAGUUGCAGGCUAAUACCCUGUGACCUUGACGUUAACGAUACAAGAAGCACCGGCUAA
rnacentral:rRNA from 1 species